rnacentral:rRNA from 1 species
GAUGAACGCUGGCGGCGUGCCUAAUACAUGCAAGUCGAGCGAAUGGAUUAAGAGCUUGCUCUUGUGAAGUUAGCGGCGGACGGGUGAGUAACACGUGAGUAACCUGCCCAUAAGACUGGGAUAACUCCGGGAAACCGGGGCUAAUACCGGAUAACAUUUUGAACCCCAUGGAUCGAAAUUGAAAGUGCGCUUCGGCUGUCACCUACUGAGGGACCCGCGUCGCAUUAGCCAGUUGGUGAGGUAACGGCUCACCAAGGCAAAGAUGCGUAGCCGAGCUGAGAGGGUGAUCGGACACACUGGGACUGAGACACGGGCCAGACUCCUACGGGAGGCAGCAGUAGGGAAUCUUCCGCAAUGGACGAAAGUCUGACGGAGCAACGCCGCGUGAGUGAUGAAGGCUUUCGGGUCGUAAAACUCUGUUGUUAGGGAAGAACAAGUGCUAGUUGAAUAAGCUGACACCUUGACGGUACCUAACCAGAAAGCCACGGCUAACUACGUGCCAGCCGCCGCCGUAA